rnacentral:lncRNA from 1 species
AGAUCAGUCUGGAGAACUACGACCCUCAGAAGGACAAACCCUUCUCGGGCACUGUCAGGCUUAAGUCCAACCCUCGCCCCAAGUCCUCGGUGUACAUCCUGGGGGACCAGCAGCGCUGUGACGAAGCCAAAGCUGUGGAUAUCCCCCACAUGGACAUCGAGGCGCUCAAGAAGCUUAAGAAGAACAAGAAGUUGGUCAAAAAGCUAGCCCAGAGUCUCUGAUCAAGCAGAUCCCAGGUAUCCUGGGCCCGGGCCUAAACAAGGCUGAUAAGUUGCCCUCCCUGCUGACACACAAUGAAAACAUGGUGGCCAAAGUGGAUGAGGUGAAAUCCACAAUCAAGUCCCGAUGAAGAAGGUACUGUGUCUGGCUGUUGCCGUCGGCCACGUGAAGAUGGCCGAUGAUGAGCCGGUCUACAACAUCCACCUGGCUGUCAAUUUCUUACUGCCCUUGCUCAAGAAAAACUGGCAGAACGUCUGGGCUUUGUACCUCAAGAACACCAUGGGCAAGCCUCAGCGUCUGUAUUA